rnacentral:rRNA from 1 species
UACGAAGGGGGCUAGCGUUGUUCGGAAUCACUGGGCGUAAAGGGCGCGUAGGCGGCCGAUCAAGUCGGGGGUGAAAGCCUGUGGCUUAACCACAGAAUGGCCUUCGAUACUGUUUGGCUUGAGACCAGAAGAGGUUAGUGGAACUGCGAGUGUAGAGGUGAAAUUCGUAGAUAUUCGCAAGAACACCAGUGGCGAAGGCGGCUGACUGGUCCGGUUCUGACGCUGAGGCGCGAAAGCGUGGGGAGCAAACAGG